UGCCUGCUUGCCUGUCUGUCUGUCAAUCGUCUUCUUUUUAGUACGGGUGUGCUCUCGCUUUGUUGUCCACGCUCUGGGCACACGUGAUCGCUUUUUAAACUUCUAUGAUUAUUAUUAUUGCAGGUGUCGUCUCACACGUCGAGGUGAUCUCAAACGUCCACGCUCCGGCCAUCCUUCCACGUCGGCCUCCCGGAGUGCUGGGAUGACACGCGUGGGCACGACGGAGUUUCACUCUUGUCGCCCAGGGUGGACUACGAUGGCGUGAUCUCGGCUCGCUGCGACCUCCGCCUCCCGGGUUCGAGUGAUCCUCCUGCCUUGGCCUUCCUGAGGAGCUGGAAUGACGGUGAAGCGCCAUCGUGCCCGGCUGACUUUUAUAUUUUUAGUACAGAUGGGGUUUCUCCGUCUUGGUCAGCCUGGUCUUGAGCUUCCGACCGUUGGACGAUUUUAACUUUCUUGGUGGUUGCUUUUCUUUUUCUUUUUUUGCUUUUCUUUUCUUUCCUUCUCCUCCCCCCACCCACUCCCCCUGUCCUCCUCGUCCUCCUCGUCCUCGUCCUCGUCCUCCUCCUCCUCCUCCUUUUUCAUCUCUUUCAGCUGGGCUCUCCUACUUGUGUUGCUCAGUUGCUCACGCUGGUCUCCAACUCCUGCCCUUGACGCUUCUCCCCUCACACCCACCGUCUGGUUGUUGAGAUGCGCACCUCUUGUAAAAUGGAAAAGAUGGAAAAAAUAAAGACGGAGGUGAAAA